CAACUUUCAACAACGGAUCUCUUGGCUCUCGCAUCGAUGAAGAACGCAGCGAAAUGCGAUAAGUAAUGUGAAUUGCAGAUUUUCAGUGAAUCAUCGAAUCUUUGAACGCACCUUGCGCUCCUUGGUAUUCCGAGGAGCAUGCCCGUUUGAGUGUCAUUA
rnacentral:rRNA from 1 species